rnacentral:rRNA from 1 species
GAUGAACGCUGGCGGCGUGCCUAAUACAUGCAAGUCGAGCGAACAGACGAGGAGCUUGCUCCUCUGACGUUAGCGGCGGACGGGUGAGUAACACGUGGAUCACCUACCUAUAAGACUGGGAUAACUUCGGGAAACCGGAGCUAAUACCGGAUAAUAUAUUGAACCGCAUGGUUCAAUAGUGAAAGACGGUUUUGCUGUCACUUAUAGAUGGAUCCGCGCCGCAUUAGCUAGUUGGUACGGUAACGGCUUACCAAGGCGACGAUGCGUAGCCGACCUGAGAGGUGGAUCGGCCACACGGGAACGGAGACACGGUCCAGAGUCCUACGGGAGGCAGCAGUAGGGAAUCGUCCGCAAUGGGCGAAAGCUUGACGGAGCAACGCCGCGUGAGUGAUGAAGGUCUUCGGAUCGUAAAACUCGGUUAUGAGGGAAGAACAAAUGUGUAAGUAACUAUGCACGGCUUGACGGUACCUAAUCAGAAAGCCACGGCUAACUACGUG